rnacentral:lncRNA from 1 species
UUUUCUUCUGAGUCUUUCAGAAGAAAUUCAAAGAAGACUAGAAGCCACUGGCAUGAAGGGUAAACGUCUAACUCUCAAAAUCAUGGUACGAAAGCCUGGGGCUCCUGUAGAAACUGCAAAAUUUGGAGGCCAUGGAAUUUGUGAUAACAUUGCCAGGACUGUAACUCUUGACCAGGCAACAGAUAAUGCAAAAAUAAUUGGAAAGGCGAUGCUAAACAUGUUUCAUACAAUGAAACUAAAUAUAUCAGAUAUGAGAGGGGUAAGUAUAUAGUAACAUUGUAAAUUCUGACUUUGUGUAAUGUAUCUCUCAUUUUUGAGGCUUGCUCUCAAAAGGGUUAUUGCUGGUGUAUAGGGACUUUAUAUGUAGGUCUUUAGCUGCUUUGUAAUACAAGGAAAAGAGAAACAAAAAUUCUUGACUUCCUCCAUUUUGACCUCCUUCAUUUUAGAAUAAUUUUCUUAGAUUCUUACUGUACUUUUCCAAGGUACCCCUGAUUAACCAGGGGCUAAUAUACAUGUCUUCCCUGUUCUUGUUUCCUAGAAGUAGAUAUGACUGUGAGGAAUAUGAAUACAUAAAUUUUGUACCUUUAAGUUCCUUUUUAAUCAGAAACAUACUCUGCAUCUGCUGUAUGAUGACCUAGAAGGGAGUGAAACCACAGGCACAUCAAGAUGCCUUUGAAACAGUCGCCCAUCAGUUCAGUCAAGCCACUUUCCUAGUGGGUCAUACUCUGUCCGUGAUGUCUUCCAAGUUCAGAAAGCUAAGAAAUCCACCGAAGAGGAGCACAAAGAAGUAUUUCGGGCUGCUGUGGAUCUGGAAAUAUCAUCUGCUUCUAGAACUUGCACUUUCUUGCCACCUUUUCCUGCACAUCUGCCGACCAGUCCUGAUACUAACAAGGCUGAGUCUUCAGGGAAAUGGAAUGGUCUACAUACUCCUGUCAGUGUGCAGUCGAGACUUAACCUGAGUA